rnacentral:tRNA from 1 species
GCUGGAAUGGUCUAGUUGGUUAUGACGACUGCCUAACAUGCAGUGGUCCCGAGUUCGAUUCUCGGUUCCAGUA